rnacentral:rRNA from 1 species
UACGUUCCCGGGCCUUGUACACACCGCCCGUCACGUCACGAAAGUCGGUAACACCCGAAGCCCAUGGCCCAACCCGUAAGGGAGGGAGUGGUCGAAGGUGGGACUGGCGAUUGGGACG